CCUUGCUGGACACAGACUCCGGAGCCAUACUCCAAGGUGUGCCAGGCAUUAUGUUUUGCUCAGGCCCCUGCAACUCUGCUCCAGGAACUAAGAAAAGGAAAAACAUUUCCAAGGAACAGCUCCGCCUGGCAGAGCAGGAACCUCAGAUCCUGGACAGUCAAAGAUGAAGAAACAGCCUUUAAUUCUCUUAAAUUCUGUUUAAAUAUUUGGUGAUAAGAAGUACAUUCACUCUUCAGUCCAGCUCCUAAGCUUGCAGAGAGGCUCAUGGUCUAGUACCAGUGACCCACAACAGGCUGUCCACAAUGAUGCCAACAGGACAGACAGCUGCCCAGUGGCCCUCAAGGACUAACAGACUCUUCCUGGCUUUCAGUUGCACCUCCUCCCACCUCCUCUACUCUGCACCCUGACACCUCUGAAGAUGACUUCUCCAGUAUUCCCUCUUCAGAUGUUUCCCUGAAUCCCUUGCUGGGAGACUCAGGGGUAGUCUCCACCAUGUGGUACUCUCUCCAUGUUUAUCAGGCGUUGGCACUGCUCCUGAAUCCUAGCCUCUAGCUACUGAAGCUCUGUUCCUUACAUAUUAUUGGGUGCCAUGUAUUAUGUUAUAGUUCCAGAAAACAGACAGAAGCAGAGAGGGAGCUUUGGGUGCUGAGGUGGGCAGCCCAUAGGCCCAGCAUAACUAUCCUAAUCCCCAGGGAGGCAGGAAACUCCCUCUAGCCACUGAAAAGGCCACAGGAAUUUGAUAGGUGAGGCUCCCAGAGUCAUUCACCUUGCUUGUCUGAGACAAGUUUUCUCACUGGCCUGGGGCUCACCAUGUCUUUGACACAAGGAUCUGUCUGUCCCUGCCUUCUAGGCACUUGGAUUAUAAACU